rnacentral:rRNA from 1 species
AUUGAACGCUGGCGGCAGGCCUAACACAUGCAAGUCGAGCGAGUGGCGGACGGGUGAGUAAUGUCUGGGAAACUGCCUGAUGGAGGGGGAUAACUACUGGAAACGGUAGCUAAUACCGCAUACCAUCGGAUGUGCCCAGAUGGGAUUAGCUAGUAGGUGGGGGAAAGGCUCACAUAGGCGACGAUCCCUAGCUGGACUGAGAGGAUGCCCAGCCAGACUGGAACGGAGACACGGUCCAGACUCCGACGGGAGGCAUCAGUGGGGAAUAUUGCACAAUGGGCGCAAGCCUUAUGCAGCCAUGCCGCGUGUAUGAAGAAGGCCUUAGGGUUGUAAAGUAAUUUCAGCGGGGAGGCGUUACCCGCAGAAGAAGCACCGGCUAACUCCGUGCCAGCCGCCGCGGUAAUAC